AGUGAACGCUGGCGGCAGGCCUAACACAUGCAAGUCGAACGGCAGUACAAGAGAGCUUGCUCUCUGGGUGGCGAGUGGCGGACGGGUGAGGAAUGCAUCGGAAUCUGCCCAUUUGUGGGGGAUAACCUCGGGAAACCGGGACUAAUACCGCAUACGACCUACGGGUGAAAGCAGGGGAUCUUCGGACCUUGCGCAGAUGGAUGAGCCGAUGCCGGAUUAGCUAGUUGGAGGGGUAAAGGCCCACCAAGGCGACGAUCCGUAGCUGGUCUGAGAGGAUGAUCAGCCACACUGGGACUGAGACACGGCCCAGACUCCUACGGGAGGCAGCAGUGGGGAAUAUUGGACAAUGGGCGCAAGCCUGAUCCAGCCAUGCCGCGUGUGUGAAGAAGGCCUUCGGGUUGUAAAGCACUUUUGUUGGGAAAGAAAAGCAGCCGGUUAAUACCCGGUUGUCAUGACGGUACCCAAAGAAUAAGCACCGGCUAACUUCGUG
rnacentral:rRNA from 1 species